rnacentral:rRNA from 1 species
UACAGAGGUCUCAAGCGUUGUUCGGAUUCAUUGGGCGUAAAGGGUGCGUAGGUGGCGCGCUAAGUCAGGUGUGAAAUCUCAGAGCUCAACUCUGAAAUGGCACUUGAUACUGCUCUGCUAGAGGACUGGAGAGGAGAUUGGAAUUCACGGUGUAGCAGUGAAAUGCGUAGAUAUCGUGAGGAAGACCGGUGGCGAAGGCGGAUCUCUGGACAGUUCCUGACGCUGAGGCGCGAAGGCCAGGGGAGCAAACGGG